CGGGAAUGGGUACGCAUUGCCUUUUGUCUUAAACUUCAUCUCUUUGUGGUUUAUCACUCUCUUUCUUCCUUUGUCCAUCUUGCAUAAAGAUUGUUAUUUUAUUGUGAAGUUAUUUCGUGGAGCGUCUCGAGUCCCGAGACGGGACGAAUGGGACCUAAGGUUGGCACUGUUCGGGAAGAGACGUAGAGAGGGUUCCUUUGGCAGCUACCACCACCGAAGAGCUUUUACUUUAAGUGGCUGUACCAC
rnacentral:misc_RNA from 1 species